rnacentral:rRNA from 1 species
GGCCUGAGAGGGUGACCGGCCACACUGGGACUGAGACACGGCCCAGACUCCUACGGGAGGCAGCAGUGGGGAAUAUUGCACAAUGGGCGCAAGCCUGAUGCAGCGACGCCGCGUGGGGGAUGACGGCCUUCGGGUUGUAAACCUCUUUCAGCAGGGAAGAAGCGAAAGUGACGGUACCUGCAGAAGAAGCGCCGGCUAACUACGUGCCAGCAGCCGCGGUAAUACGUAGGGCGCAAGCGUUGUCCGGAAUUAUUGGGCGUAAAGAGCUCGUAGGCGGUUUGUCGCGUCUGCUGUGAAAGCCCGGGGCUCAACCCCGGGUCUGCAGUGGGUACGGGCAGACUUGAGUGAUGUAGG